CAGCAGCCACGGGAAUACGUAGGGUGCAAGCGUUAAUUGGAAUUACUGGGCGUAAAGCGUGCGCAGGCGGUUUGUUAAGACAGAUGUGAAAUCCCCGGGUUUAACCUGGGAACUGCAUUUGUGACUGGCAAGCUAGAGUCUGGCAGAGGGGGGUGGAAUUCCGCGUGUAGCAGUGAAAUGCGUAGAUAUGCGGAGGAACACCGAUGGCGAAGGCAGCCCCCUGGGCCAACACUGACGCUCAUGCACGAAAGCGUGGGGAGCAAACAGGAUUAGAUACCCCGGUAGUCCCUGUCUCUUAUAC
rnacentral:rRNA from 1 species